AGAAUAUUUGCUUCGUCAAAAGGUUUAACAUGUUCACUACAGAAAUCAGGUAUAUCCACUCAAAAUAUAAUUAGCCUUAACUAUGGAAAGCAGUAUUAUUUACCAAUCCAUCUUUUGUUGAAGAAUGUCAUGUUUGAAACUAAUUUUUUUGUUGAGAUAUGUCAUGUA